UACGAAGGGGGCUAGCGUUGCUCGGAAUCACUGGGCGUAAAGCGCACGUAGGCGGACUCUUAAGUCGGUGGUGAAAUCCUGGAGCUCAACUCCAGAACUGCCUUUGAUACUGGGGAUCUCGAGUCCGGGAGAGGUGAGUGGAACUGCGAGUGUAGAGGUGAAAAUUCGUAGAUAUUCGCAAGAACACCAGUGGCGAAGGCGGCUCACUGGCCCGGUACUGACGCUGAGGUGCGAAAGCGUGGGGAGCAAACAGG
rnacentral:rRNA from 1 species